UACGUAGGUGGCAAGCGUUGUCCGGAAUUACUGGGCGUAAAGCGGGCGCAGACGGUUCGUUAAGCAAGAUGUGAAAUCCCCGGGCUCAACCUGGGAACUGCGUUUUGAACUGGCGGACUAGAGUGUGUCAGAGGGGGGUAGAAUUCCACGUGUAGCAGUGAAAUGCGUAGAGACGUGGAGGAAUACCGAUGGCGAAGGCAGCCCCCUGGGAUAACACUGACGUUCAUGCUCGAAAGCGUGGGGAGCAAACAGG
rnacentral:rRNA from 1 species